UCCUCCCAACCAAGAAAAUGUCCGCCCACGCCCACGAAAAUACGUGUCCCGCUCAUUUCCACCACCCUACACCCAGCUGACAGCCUUCUCCUCCUCCUCCUCCGCCAACACCAACACCACCUCCAUAUCCCUCUCCCAACUCAGACAAAUGCACCCAGCUCUAACUUCCCUCCUUCCCUCCUCUUCUUCCCUCGACUACGCCCUCUCCAUCUUCACAGACCUCCCCACAUGUGACAAUCCUCUCUCCAACAAACUCUUCCGCUAUUUAUCUCGCAUCGCCGAGCCUGAAACCGCUUUUUUAGCAUAUGAUAAAAUAAGGUUGAAGAUGGCUUGCUUGGUACUGACAGUUUUAGCUUUCCUUCAUUGCUGAAGGCAGCUUCCAGAACUUCUGGGUUGAUUGAAGGGAAGGAGAUUCAUGGGAUUGCGGCUAAAUUGUGUUUUGAUAAAGAUCCUUUUGUUCGAAUGGGCUUGGUGGGCUUGUAUGCUGCUUUUGACCGGAUUUUGAAUGCACGUUUGGUGUUUGAUAAAAUGUCUUAUAGGGAUGUUUUUUCUUAGAGUAUUAUGAUUGACGGUUACAGAUGUUUACACUGAAGUUUAAUUCUUUCGGUUGCUGAAUUAGAUAUCUUUUUACUGAUGUUAGUUUAUUAACAGGUACUAUCAGAGUGGACUUUAUGAUGAUGUGUUGCAGCUUUUUGAAGAGAUGAGGAAUUCCAAUUUGAAGCCAGGUGAAAAGAGUGCACUGGUUACCAUGUAUGCAAGCUGUGGCUGUUUGGAUAUUGCUGAAGAAUUAUUUACUAAGAUCUCAACAAAGAACUUGGUUGUUUUAAGUUUUAACAGCCAUGGUUUCUGGGUAUUCGAGAGUUGGGAGAGUUGAAGAUGCUCGCUUUGUUUGUUGCCAUAUGUAUGAAAAAGACUUGGUUUUUAACAGACUUGGUUAUGCUGAGAGUGAUAAGCCUCAGGAAGCUCUUAAUGUAUUUAGUCAAAUGCAAGUUUUGGGAAUCAAACCUGAUCAAGUUACUAUACUGAGUGUAAUUUCCGCCAGUGCUCAUCUUGGUAUUCUAGAUCUCUUAGCGGGAUGAUGAGUGAGGGAAAAGGGUCAUGCAUCUGAAUAGUUAAGAAUCUCAAGUGUUUGUGAGGACUGCAUACCUUUAUAAAGUUGGUCUCGAAGGUUUAUGGGAUGGAGAAUAUUGUUAGAGACAGGACUCGAUUUCAGCUUUACACCUUUACAAAGCUGGCGUGUGCUCUUCUAAUGACUAUUGGUGAUUUUGAUUUCACCUAUCUGUAUAGAAAUUGUUCCUAAUGGAGAUAGUUUACAAAUUUGGAACUGAACA